GGAUCAUUAUCUAGGUGAGGGUCUCACGGCCCAAUCUUAAACCCUGUGUUACCAAUCUACCAUGUUGCUUUGGCGGGCCCGCCUCUGGCCGCCGGGGGCUUGUGCCCCUGGCCUGUGCCCGCCAAAAGCCCAUUUAAAUUCUUUUAACUGUGUUGUCUGAGUUUAUGAUAUAAUCGUUAAAACUUUCAACAACGGAUCUCUUGGUUCUGGCAUCGAUGAAGAACGCAGCGAAAUGCGAUAAGUAAUGCGAAUUGCAGAAUUCAGUGAGUCAUCGAAUCUUUGAACGCACAUUGCGCCCUUUGGUAUUCCGAAGGGCAUGCCUGUCCGAGCGUCAUUAUCAACCAUCAAGCCUGGCUUGUCGUUGGACCCCUGGCCGCGUACGCGUGGCCGGUCCGAAAGUGAAUGACGGUGUCGGUCCGACCCUCGAUGCAACGAGCCUUUUGGCACGCAUUGCGGUGGCGGGCUGGCCUGGUCUUAACCCAAUUUUUUCAAGGUUGACCUCGGAUCAGGUAGGAAUACCCGCUGAACUUAAGCAUAUCAAUAAGCGGAGGAAAAGAAACCAACAGGGAUUACCCUAGUAACGGCGAGUGAAGCGGUAACAGCUCAAAUUUGAAAUCUGGCCCUCCCGGGUCCGAGUUGUAAUUUGUAGAGGAUGUUUCGGGCAAGGCCCAAGUUUAAAUUUCUUGGAACAGAAUGUCAUAGAGGGUGAGAAUCCCGUCUAGAACGUCGGCCGCGUCCAUGUGAAACUCCUUCGACGAGUCGAGUUGUUUGGGAAUGCAGCUCAAAAUGGGUGGUAAAUUUCAUCUAAAGCUAAAUAUUGGCCAGAGACCGAUAGCGCACAAGUAGAGUGAUCGAAAGAUGAAAAGCACUUUGAAAAGAGAGUUAAACAGUAUGUGAAAUUGUUGAAAGGGAAGCGCUUGCGACCAGACUUGUGUGUGGCGGCUCCCCCGGUCUUUUGACCGGGCUACUCUGUCAUAUCCAGGCCAGCAUCGGUUCGGGUGGUCGGUCAAAGGUCUUGGGAAUGUAUCUACCUCCGGGUCGACUUAUAGCCCAAGGCGCAAUGCGGCCUACCUGGACCGAGGAACGCGCUUUUGCUCGGAUGCUGGCGUAAUGGUUGCAAGCGGCCCGUCUUGAAACACGGACCAAGGAGUCUAACAUCUAUGCGAGUGUUAGGGUGUCAAACCCUUACGCGGAAUGAAAGUGAACGGAGGUAACAACCCUUAAGGGUGCAUUAUCGACCGAUCCUGAUGUCUUCGGAUGGAUUUGAGUAAGAGCAUAGCUGUUGGGACCCGAAAGAUGGUGAACUAUGCCUAAAUAGGGUGAAGCCAGAGGAAACUCUGGUGGAGGCUCGCAGCGGUUCUGACGUGCAAAUCGAUCGUCAAAUUUGGGUAUAGGGUAUGUACAUCCCUCUCCUUUAUAAUCUUUGACAUAUGCUAAUAUUUUUUUAACAGGGCGAAAGACUAAUCGAACCAU
rnacentral:rRNA from 1 species